AUUGAACGCUGGCGGCAUGCUUUACACAUGCAAGUCGAACGGUAACAGGUUAAGCUGACGAGUGGCGAACGGGUGAGUAAUGCAUCGGAACGUGCCCGAUCGUGGGGGAUAACGCAGCGAAAGCUGCGCUAAUACCGCAUACGACCUGAGGGUGAAAGCGGGGGAUCGCAAGACCUCGCGCGAUUGGAGCGGCCGAUAUCAGAUUAGGUAGUUGGUGGGGUAAAGGCACACCAAGCCAACGAUCUGUAGCUGGUCUGAGAGGACGACCAGCCACACUGGGACUGAGACACGGCCCAGACUCCUACGGGAGGCAGCAGUGGGGAAUUUUGGACAAUGGGCGCAAGCCUGAUCCAGCCAUGCCGCGUGCGGGAAGAAGGCCUUCGGGUUGUAAACCGCUUUUGUCAGGGAAGAAAAGGCUUCUGCUAAUACCGGAGGCUCAUGACGGUACCUGAAGAAUAAGCACCGGCUAACUACGUGCCAGCCGCCGCAGUAA
rnacentral:rRNA from 1 species